rnacentral:rRNA from 1 species
AUUGAACGCUGGCGGCAUGCUUUACACAUGCAAGUCGAACGGUAACAGGUUAAGCUGACGAGUGGCGAACGGGUGAGUAAUGCAUCGGAACGUGCCCGGUCGUGGGGGAUAACGCAGCGAAAGCUGCGCUAAUACCGCAUACGAUCUGAGGAUGAAAGCGGGGGACCGUAAGGCCUGCCGCGAUCGGACGGGCCGAUGUCAGAUUAGGGAGUUGGUGGGGUAAAGGCUCACCAAGCCAACGAUCUGUAGCUGGUCUGAGAGGACGACCCGCCACACUGGGACUUGGACACGGCCCAGACUCCUACGGGAGGCAGCAGUAGGGAAUAUUGCGCAAUGGGGGAAACCCUGACGCAGCAGCGCCGCGUGAGUGAGGAAGGCCUUCGGGUCGUAAAGCUCUGUUCUUAGGGAAAAAUGGUUAGGGAGCUAAUACCCCCUGAUUUGAUGGUACCUAAGUAGAAAGCACCGGCUAACUUCGUGCCAGCCGCCGCUGUAA